rnacentral:lncRNA from 1 species
UUUUUUUUGGUAAUUUUACAAUUUUUUUUUCUGAAAGAAAAGUGUACUCCUCUUUUACUAUAUAAGGGAUAUAUACAUAAAAUAGUUUAAUUAUGAUCAGUACAAGAAAACAGGCAAACACCGACUAAGGUUAGCGACUAUAUUUAUAGUUUAUAAGAACAAUAGAUUUUAAACAUUUUUCUUCAUAUAUAUCAUCAUAAGAUGGUAUGAGUAUUUAUACAUGUUAAGGAUCAGCUAUCUAGAUCCUAAAAUAUAGGAGAUAUAUAUGAAUCAAAGAUUUAACAUAAUCUACCAAACCACUAACAAUAGUAAGAUCACUUAUUAUAUUAUCAUCCUUUUUAACCCUAUCUUAAUCAACACAGGUUUACUUUGGUUAUAUUCUCAUCAAUACUCCCCCAUCGUGCAUCUUCUUGAGUAGCUUCUUCCCAUCUCCUCCGUUUGUGUCAUCUUUGGACUAGCUUGUCCACGAUCAAAGGGUAGCUUCCCGUGGCUAUUUUUUUUUCAAGUAUUGAAAAUAUAGAUUUUGAUACCACAAAUGUGGUCUGGAUCAAAACCGAGAAGAUGAUAAAAAUAUAUGAUAAAAAUAGGGUUUGACACCACAAGUGUGGUCCGGAUUAAAACAAAAAAAAAAUGAUUAAAAUAGAUUUUGAUACCACAAGCGUGGUCC